rnacentral:rRNA from 1 species
AACGCUGGCGGCAUGCCUUACACAUGCAAGUCGAACGGCAGCACGGGAGCAAUCCUGGUGGCGAGUGGCGAACGGGUGAGUAAUAUAUCGGAACGUGCCCAGUCGUGGGGGAUAACGUAGUGAAAGUUACGCUAAUACCGCAUACGAUCUAAGGAUGAAAGCGGGGGAUCGCAAGACCUCGCGCGAUUGGAGCGGCCGAUAUCAGAUUAGGUAGUUGGUGAGGUAAAGGCUCACCAAGCCGACGAUCUGUAGCUGGUCUGAGAGGACGACCAGCCACACUGGGACUGAGACACGGCCCAGACUCCUACGGGAGGCGGCAGUGGGGAAUUUUGGACAAUGGGCGCAAGCCUGAUCCAGCAAUGCCGCGUGCAGGAUGAAGGCCUUCGGGUUGUAAACUGCUUUUGUACGGAACGAAACGGUGAGCUCUAAUACAGUUUGCUAAUGACGGUACCGUAAGAAUAAGCACCGGCUAACUACGUG